UUUUGAUUAGAAGCCAAAAAUGAGGCUUAUUAUUGUUAAUAAUACCAUUGAAAAAAAUUCCUAUCAAGAA
rnacentral:tRNA from 1 species